AGCGGUGGUGACGGCGGUGCCGGAGGUUGUCCUUGGCAGGUUUUCCUCGGCGCUUUUCCAUGGAGGAGGCGGUGCGAACGGCUUCAGCCCCGAAUGCUCGCAUCUCCCACUGGACGGCGACGAAGGCGGUGGCCGUGCGAGCGCAGGACUGGGCGGCCUGUGUGGGGGUGUGAGCCGCGGUGCCCCAGGCUGCGCCGGCGAGGGGAAGCCGCGCGGCCGGCCGGCCGACUAGGGUGAGGUCGCCACUCCUUCCUUUCAGGCAAGCGCGAAGGGGCUGACUUGGUGGCGAGCCAGCCCGCCUUGUGUCGGAGAAGGGUUCUUCGGGCAACUUUCCUUUCCGGGUGUUCUGAAGCGGUUUUCCUGUAAUCCUCAGUGAGGAAACCCACCGUGAAUCGGAUUGCCGUUCAGUCCCACGGAAGCCUGGCUCGUUGGCCAUGUCGGGGACGCAUGUUCAUUAAGUUCAUUAAAAUAAUUUCAUUUGUCUUGGUUUGAAGACUGCUUCAUUCUGCCUCUAGUACCAGCGGUUUCUCUGUUCUGUGAUCAAUGUGAUUCACAGGAACUCCUUAAGUAACAA
rnacentral:sRNA from 1 species